UGUAUAUCUAAUUAAAUACAAAACAAAAGAAAAAUAUAUUUACAAAAAAAAAUUGUCCAGCUUUUCUUUACUUGGGGUCUUCUGCACGUGACUUUUUAAUUUGGAUCAUGUUCCUCAAUUUCUUUUCUUUGCCCAGCAUAUUCGUUUCUUCCUCUUCUUCAUUGUAUUCUUCUUUGAGCUUUGAAAUUCCAACACCACCAGCCCCCACAAGUUGGAGGGGAAACCAGAGACACCCAACUUGCAAAGGAUGGAAAAGUAUGAAGGCCCUGACAACGGUUUGGUGAAGAGAUCUGCAAGUUGAGCAGAUGAAGGAACAUAUGAUAAAGAAAUCAGUCUAGCAAGGUAUUGUUGUCGAAAGAAGUGACAAUCGAUCUCCACAUGUUUGGUCCGUUCAUGGAAGACAAGAUUUUUUGCGAUGUGGAUGACAAAUUGACUGUCCGAGUGAAGAGUAAUUGGGAGAGAUGGAGUGAUAGAAAGAUCAUGAAGCAAUUUUACAAACCAGAAACAGAGCGUCUGGAAUCGGGACAGGAUCCCCAAUCGGAAAUGCAGAAAGCCAUGAGCUCAAUCAAAUGUGAAAUUGAGAAAAAUAAACCUUGGCCAGAAGCUAAUUUGAGGUACCGAAUAACUCUGAGUACUGCCAAAAAAUGAGGAAGCCUUGGCUGCUGCAUAUACUGGGUCAAAUGUUGCAUAGCAAAAGAUAAAUCUAGCCUGUUUUUGUGAAGGAUCCAAAGGAGAAGAAACAGGAGCUGAUUUCUGAGAAUCAAAUUCAUCCAGCAAUUCCAAGGUAAAUUUCCUUUGACUAAGAAUAAGUCUAUGAUUUUCCCUAAUAACCUCCAUUCCCAAAAAAUAAUGCACCUCUCCGAGGUCCUUGAUUUUAAAUUCAUCAUUGAGAAAUGACUUAAGAGAAUUGAGUUCAAUAGGAUCAUUGUCGGUUAGUAAAAUAUCAUCGACAUAAACAGCAACAAGUGAAAUAGAAUUCCCUGUAUGUUUGAAAAAUAAAGAAUAGUCAUUCAAAGAAUAAAUAUAACCUUUGAAGUUGAGUACAGCUAUGAUCCUACCAUACCACUACCUCGAGGCUUGUUUUAAACCAUAAAGAGAUUUUCUAAGCUUGCAAAUGAGAUUAGGAUUAGUAGGUUGCAUUCCGGGGAGAAAUUUCAAAACUUCCUCUUGUAGUUCUCCAUGUAGAAACUCAUUGUUUACAUCUAAUUGAUAAAUCCCCCAAUUCAUCUUAACGGCUACUGAAAACAAAAAUCUUAUGGUAGUCAUCUUAACAACAAGGGAAUAAGUCUCAGUGUAAUCGAUUCCUUCUCUUUGAAUAUCUCCUCUUAUAACAAGUCUAGCCUUAAGUCUCUCAGCGAAUCCAUCAGACUUAUGCUUGAAUUUGUAAACCCAUUUGCAAGGAAGAGCUCUAUGUCCCACUUGUAAUUCCAUAGUCUCCCAAAUGUGAUUAGAAAUCAGUGCUUCAAACUCACUUUUCAUAGUUUCCUGCCAACCGUGAUGCGUGGAAGCUUCUACAUAACUAGAAGGUUCCUUAAUAAUAGAAAUUGAGUUUAACAUUUGUUGAUUAGUAAUGGAGAGGGUAGAGAAGGAAAAAAUAGGAGUUUGAAUAGAAGCUGCAAAACAAGUAUCAGUAAGUGCAGUAAAAUGUACUGCAUUACAGAUAAAAUCUUUUAUGUAAGAAGGCUUAUGUUGAGUCCUUCCUGAUCUGGUGACUUUAGGAGUUGAAUGAUGGAGUAAAGUAGUAGAAAUAGUAUCGAUUUGUGAACUAGGAAGAGGUGGAGUUGUAGGAGAAAGAAAACUAGGAUUUACAUUCCCAGGUGACAAAAUAGUUGGACUAGAAGAUGAAGUAUGAACAAGAGGUGAAUUCGGUGGUUCAAGGCCCUUUGCAGGAGGUUUUGUAGGAGAAAUUGGCUCCGUAAUAGGAUCGCUAGCAUAGUGAAAAUAAUCAAAAUUUUGUGGGAAAAUAAGAAUAGAAGGAGAUGGAGAAGAAUGGGGAAAUAUAUUCUCAUGAAAAACUACAUCCCUUGAAUAAAUAAUUUUUCUUGUAAGAAGACUCAUGACUUUAUAUCCCUUUUUCCUAGUAGGUAUCCCAAAAAUAUACCUUUGACAGCUCUAGGUUCCAAUUUUCCCCUAUGAGCGAAAAGAGUUGAAAUAUAAUAUAAACAUCCAAAAGUUCUCAAAAAUUAUAGGAUGGUUUAGUUUUGUGAAGCACUUCGUAAGGAGUGGUGAAUUUUAAUACUCUUGAUAAAUCUGUUUAUUAAAAUAGUAGAACUAAGAAGACAAUCUCCCCAGAAAGAAGUAGGGACUUGUGAUUGAUGCAUAAGAGACCAACAUAUUUCCAAUAGGUGUCUAUGCUUUCUUUCUACUAUUCCAUUUUGUUGGGGAGUUCCGACACAAGAAAUUUGAUGUAAAAUACCUUGAGUUUUGAAGAAGUCUGAAAUGAUGAAACUAGAACCUAAUUCUAAAGCAUUAUCAGAUCUGAUUAUUUUAACUUUAGUAUUGAAUUGUCUUUCUUCCAUACUAAGAAAGUGUUUGAGAAGGGGAAAAGCAUUACUCUUAGUAGUCAAAAGAAAUGUCCAAGUUCCUCUACUAAAAUCAUCAACUAUAGUAAGAAAAUAUUUGAAACCAUCUUAUGUGCUAGUUUUAUAUGGAACCCAUAUAAAACUAUGUGAAUUAAUUCAAAGAUUGAUAUGGUAGAAAUAAUGCUUGAAGGGAUAGGUAAUUUAGUUUGUUUGGCCAUUGGACAAAUAUCACAAGGUAAAUUAGCAUGAGAUUGAAAAUUCCAAAUAACUGACUUUAUUCUUUUCAUUUAUGAAUAAGAUAAGUGGCCUAAUCUCUUAUGCCACAAAUUUACAUCAACCGUAGAUCCUAAAACAUUACUAGAAAAAGAAGAAAAUGUUGAAUUAGGAAAGAUUGUUGAACUUUGUAAAACUGGAAUACUGAAGAUGUCUUGAAUGCUAGACUUAGGAGUUGUGGAGUUGGAUUUGAGCAGAUAGAGAUCAUUACGACUUUCACCAAGAACCAGUGGCCUCUUCAUUGAAGGGCCUAUAAGAAACAACCAGUGGAAGAGAAAGUUAGUAUGUAUUUAUAUUGAAGGCAUAAUUUCUCAAUAGAAAGAAGAUAAUAAUUGAAUUCUGGAACAAAAAGAACAUUAUGUAAAAUCAAAUUUGGCAAGAUUUGAACAUUUCCUUUAUGAGUAACCUUCACCUUUUGUGAGUUAGGUAGAUUUACUGUUAAAGGUGUGACAAAAGGAGUGCGAUAAGAAAAAAGAGAAACAUCAAAAAGCAUAUGUUCUGAUGCCCCUGAAUCUAUGAUCUAGGAGUUGAAUUUGAUAUGAUUAAAACAGGAAAGAAAUUGAUGAGCAAGAUUAGUUAUACCAGAACACGCAGUUGGCAGUAACUUCUGAGGGUUUAGCCUCUGAUUGACCAAUUUUCACUUGUUGAGUAGAGUGAACUGCUCUGGUGAGAGCUGUUGAUUUUCAUUUGUUUCAUGUGCAUAAAAACCUUGUGAAGGAGGGGCUCUGUUAUGACUGCAUUGCAAUGAGUUCCUCCUUGAAUCUUCUUGUACCUGAUGAACUUUAAAUCUUACGGAAAGCCCACAAUCCUGUAGCACUUGUCUAUAGUAUGUCCCAACUUCUUACAAUAAGAACAAACAAGGCUAUUCUUCUUUAAAUCAACUUUUCCUUUUCCUGUAUAAUCAUGAUUUCCAUUUUUUUUAUUCCCUGCAGCCCUAUUAACAACCAAAAAAGAGGAAGACUCUCCAGGAUAUUGAUUAUUAACAUAACCUUCUCUUUGUUUUUCAUCUUGGAUUAAAAGUGAGUAAGCCAUGAUAACAUUAGGAAGAGGAGCGAUCAUCAAUAUAGUUCCUCCAAUAUGAGAAAAAGAGUCAUUUAAACCCAUUAAAAAAUGGAUCAAUCUUUCAUCUUGCAUAGACUUAAUAAUUUUAACUUUUCCUUCACAAGUACAGACACAAUCACAACAUACAUUAGUAAUUAAAGUGUCUAGUUCAUCCCAAAGUCUUUUGAUCUUUGUGAAAUAACCUGCUAUAUCACUAGAACCUUGAACCAAGUCACUUAAAUUCUUUUUGUAGGUGGUAUAAUUUUGACCCAUUUGACUGACCAUAUCUGUCUUCCAAAUUUGUCCAAAGGUCUUUCACAGUCUUGGAAUAGAUCACACUGUCAGAAAUCUCUUUCGAGAGAGAGUUAAGAAGCCAAGAUAGGACCAUGUCGUUGCACCUAC